rnacentral:lncRNA from 1 species
AGCCAUGAGGCCCCAAACGCACUCCCAAGUGUACAUGACAUAAAGAAAAAGAUGAUGAGAAGGAUUAGAAACUCGAACUUAAAUAGUAUAAGUAUUAAGGAGAUAUACAAUCUGAGACUAUAGAAUGAUUCAAAGUUCCAGUUUGAUGAGCAAACGGAAGAAGUAAAUUCAAAUUUGAACCUAGUAAACUAGAUGAGCUAACUGCUGUGAUAUGGCAGACAAGAAACAGAGUGCAACACUAAAUCAGAUUACAGCUUAAAAAUAAGAAGAAUAAAACCUAACUAUCUCAAACAAACACCUAAAAAAUGGCACUGACAUCUUAAACAAAUCAGAAGAAAAUGUCCCCUCAAGUCUAAUCCUUAAUGGAAAUUCAUGUUGAUUAUUUGCAACCAUUUAUCACGGUGAAGGGAGGGUGAACAGAUGAUGAAAAUACUUGAUCAGACUAUUCAGGUUUUAAAAAAAAUGAACAAAGCAUAGAGCUUACAAGCUAAAACUGAACGCUUGGCGUAAAUAUGAGAGCUCAUUUCAAUUUUAAAACACAUCAUGGAUGCUAAAGAGAUAUAUGGCAUAUCGUAAUAAAAUAAGCAAACAAACACUUAGAAGGACGCAAGAGACAGACUUAGUGUUUCAACUCGAAGGUAUUUUUAAGAUUCAUUCUAGGCCAAGAGAAAACGAAUUAAAAAAUUCGACUAGCUCGGCCACAAUCUUACACAAAUAGCUAUAAAUUUAAAUGAACUUUGCACAAAUUACUUCAAAGUUAUUCUUGUGAUUCAACAAAUCUGGGAAUUUAAAUGACCAAACUUACCCAUAAAUCUGGAAAAAUUAUAGAGCUAACUACAAGCCAAACUAAAAUACUACUUCCUUUGUUGUAUUCUCAAAAUUUCCACUUGAGGACAUUUGAUCUUUCAUGGAUUGAUGGAGUCCACAAAUAAUAGAUUAAGACCUAGUUAAAAACGAUGACACUUUCUUUACAAGAACCUUUUUGCUUGAAAGGAAAACAUGGCAGUUAAUUAUACACAAACACGGUCAUUUGGUUAAAAAUAUAAAAGGGAGAAUAUUCCAUGUUCUUUGCAAAAGUGUUUAAAGCUAACAUAUGCAUAGUUUAAAAUGGAGAUGUACUUCACCCGAUUUGAUGGUUAAAAUUAGUGCGUGUAAGAGAGAGUUCGCAGGGAUCCAUUCGAAGAGUCUUUAGAAAAGGAACGUGUUAAGAUUGUGUCAAAAUGAUAAAUACAAGUUGAUCAAACAUAAUACUCACGGGAAGUUGACGUAUCUUAUGCCAAUCUUUGAUGACAAGAAUAAGCUAAACAAACAUCUUUUGUAAGGGAAUAAAAAGAAAUAAAGACAGGGGUUAACUGUUGGGUUCAUAGUAUAUGAAAAAAGUGUGAAUGAAAAAAUAGAGAAUAAAAUGGUGGAGGGGAAGGAGACACUAAAAUGGAAAGUGUAUUCCCAAAUUAGAAAGUUUAUUCUUUCUCCCACAUUGAUGGAAGAAGAGAACUUGAAAGUAUUUAUAAUCAAGAACACUUACUCCACAUGGCAAGUGAGGCAAGAAAUAAUAGAUGUCUCGCUCCGUCGUCAUCGCUUGGCUUGAAUUUGGAUUUGUCUUUUUAGACAAACUUUAUUUGAAUUACGAAGAAUGCCAAGGAAAAACGCAGUAAAAUUUUUCUGCAGCGUUUCGGACCUCUAUUUAUAUAUACAUGCAGUAACAGUUGCAGCAUUGUUUUCGAAGUGCUUCAGAAAUGAUACAUUGUUCUGAACUGAGGCUACAGAAGGUUGCAAUGGUUCGAAAUGAUGCUUCAGAAGAUGGAAUCGUUCAAUGAAGUGACACACUGAUUCAUGAAAUGAGAUGACUGUUCAGGAAGAGAUGCAAUCUUUGAUGAACAGACAUAAACUUACAGCAAAAGUGUAACCUUUGGAGUGAACCAUUGCCUCUUUUAAGAAGAGGCAUGUUAUGGCUAUAUAGACCUGCUUUCAUCCACAAGUUUUGAUACGAAAUUUCAGAAUAAAAAAUACUCCUCUUGUCUUCAAAAAUUCUAUGUGAUCAUUCAAACUGUUGAGUGUGUUUGACGAGUCCAAAUAUUUGAGGUACCGCUAUAUUUGGAUUGAAGGCCAUUUUAUCCUGAGAGGAAAAAUUCCAUAACCUUGGGUACAGUGAGGGGAAUUGUUUCCUUAAGGAAACUUCGUGAAUUCGGACGACUUGGCCUUAUUCAUUUUUGUUUCAUCUAUUUUUUGGUAAAAAUAAAAUACAUCUCUUGGAAAGGUCAUUUUGAUCUGUGUUGAGGGUAUUUGAUAUACUUUAUUGUGUUCUUGUUUAUACCUGAACUCUAGUUGAAGUUGUUGUUCUGCAUAUACAGAUUCUGCGUACCCGUGGAAGGAAAUAACAUUAACGCCAUUAGUUUUAAAUAAUGAGUUAGACACUCGUAAUCACCUAUAUCACAUAUUUAAAGGGGAGAACAACCCCACAUACAACGACUAAUUCAAAACAACAAAAAAACACAUUCAGGUAUCCUUAAUUCGGCAAAUGGGCUAAAAAUACUUGACGUGUAUCACAAGACAAAUUUUAAUAACAAAUAUUCAUGGAUUCACGUAGACAUGACAAAGAAAUAGAAAAUGAAGGAAGCAAGAGUUAAUAUUACGGAUAUGCAUACAGGAAGCCAAACUAUUACAAAAAUAAUCAUAAGUCACCUGACAUCAAAAAAGACUUUGAAGGACAAACUAUAUAAGGUUUGAGAUUAACCUGGAAAGCAAUCGUAUAAAUAUAAAAAAUAAGUGAAGAUUUGCGGAAGAUGACCAGCAAUAUCAAAAUAAAAUAAGCACACGUCUUCACGUAAACAUAUUCAAACAUAAAAAGAAGAAGAAAUAAGAGUAAUUUUUACAUCCAACGGCCCCAAAUCCGAAUAAGGAGGAAACCAAUUUCAAGUUCGAUUAUUUAGGAGAUAAAAUAUCAUAGAGAGGAUAAUGAUAUAUGUGAAAAGAUAUAUAACUAAAAUUAAGAACAACGAGCAGUAGUCCCAAAAUAAGAUGAAUACAUACACAUAUAUUUACAGACCAUCCAUAUCGCACGCGAAAUAACUUUUCAUAAUAAAAAAUUACAUACACCCGCAAAUUCAAAGGAAGACAACAACGACAACAUGAGUUUCAAAAUGAAACCCACACAUCGACAGAACCAAAAUAGAAGGAGAAGAAACAAAUCAGAAUUUUAUUUCUUAUUCACAAAGUCGACGAAAACAACAACAAAGAAAAAAAGAAUGAAACAAAAUCGCAUAUUUCUCAGCAAAAUAGGAAGGAAAAGAAUGGAGAACUGAAGGUUCAUUCGCCCCAUCAUAAACAACGGACAACAAACCUCCAUAACCAAACUUCAAGCCAAAAUCACAUAUUCACCAACCAAAACCACUUCCCAAAACUAACGACGACGACAUAUACCCUUUUAUCCAGAAUCGACAAUAACAACAACACAAGUUUAACCAAAACUUAAGCAAAAUCGUAUAUUUUCAUAAUCAAGGUAAAGAAAAGAGGUGAAUUUGUACCUUUUCCAGGGCAGCGAACUAGGAAUCCGAGGCGAAGAGCAAUUCUACCACCAACGACGACUCCGAAUUUGAACAACGAAAGCAACGAGAGAGCGGCGGGAGUAAAUCCAAACCAAAAAAAUUGAGUGCGUAGUGAAUCGGAGAGUGAGAUAAAACUUUUAAAAAAUUCAAUUUCUCUAUUAUGUCCUCCCCUAAAGGGGUGAACAAGACCCCCUUUUUAAUAGACAAAAUUGGAUCACCACAGCUUCUUAGACACGCUUCCACCGGUUCCAACAAUUUGAAAAUUUUCAAUUCUUUGAAAAGGCAAAACCUUUUAGAAAUCAGUAAGAUUGAUUGCUGAAAAGAAAUAAAGUAGAAAAAGGGGUCACCACUUUCAGUCUAUUUGAAGGAAAGUGACGGAUUGGAGGCUAUCUAGCUUGAAUCCGUUGGUUUGAAGGGCUAAACAUUCUCAAAACAUGAAGGACCUUGAGCUUUUCCAUCUUUUCCAGAAAAUGCAGAGCCUAGGGCUUUGUUCUGCUUCAACAAGAAGUGAUGGGGAAGGUG